UUAUUGCUAUUUUGCGAAGUCCUACGUAGGCCCAUGGAGAUAACCUCAACAAAACAUGGGUGGGCCCCUACCGAAGUGUUUAGCGAUAAAAAGGAAUCUCCGUCCUAAAAUUCCAGAAUCGAUUAGGUUUUUUUCCGACCAGAAAACGCUGAGAGAUGCAAUUGGUGGCGCUAAAUCCGGCAUCCAUUCCCAGGUCGGCGACACACACCCUAGCCCUAGAGCCUUCCUCCUCUCGUCUUCUUUCUUCUGCUCAGAGUUUGAGCUCCCAACGCUCUUCACGUCUCGUAGCUAGGUCUCGUAAUCGAUUCCCACGAUUCUCUCAAAAUCUAUCGACUCGACGAUCCCAAGUUGUAAAGGCAGUGGCAACCCCAGACCCAGUCUUGGAAGUACCCUUGACAGAGGAAAAUGUUGAAAGCGUCUUGGACGAAAUCAGACCAUACCUUAUGUCUGAUGGUGGGAAUGUCGCACUGCAUGAGAUCGAUGGCAAUAUUGUUCGAGUGAAACUGCAGGGAGCUUGCGGUUCAUGCCCAAGUUCUGUUACGACAAUGAAGAUGGGUAUUGAGCGUCGCCUUAUGGAAAAGAUCCCUGAGAUAGUGGCUGUUGAAUCUGUUCCAGAUGAAGAGACUGGCCUUGAACUCAAUGACGAAAACAUUGAAAACGUAUAUGCUCUUCUUGGUUGCAUUAAGUUCUAUGGAUAUGUACUUGUCUGGUGAAGGUGAAACCGGAACUAGAAGCAAAGCAAACGGGAUUCUCUUGUGUUUUUUCGAAUCAUGAACAAGUGCUAGAAGAAAUCAGGCCUUACUUGAUCGGAACAGCAGAUGGCUCCCUCGAAUUGGUGGAGAUUGAAGAACCGAUCGUGAAGAUAAGAAUCACAGGACCUGCUGCUGGAGUCAUGACCGUACGAGUAGCAGUAACUCAGAAACUCAGAGAGAAAAUUCCUUCAAUUGCAGCUGUUCAACUAAUAUGAACUUGUCUCUUUCUUUGUAUAGUUAUUAUAUGAUGUACAGAUACUGUGUUUGACAUUUGAUUUUUCUGCCCACAUGUUUUAUUUUAA